GACGAACGCUGGCGGCGUGCCUAAUACAUGCAAGUCGAGCGAAUCUUAAGGUGCUUGCACCUUUUGGUUAGCGGCGGACGGGUGAGUAACACGUGGGCAACCUGCCUGUAAGACUGGGAUAACUUCGGGAAACCGGAGCUAAUACCGGAUAAUUCCUUCCCUCUCAUGAGGGAAGGCUGAAAGACGGCGUAAGCUGUCAUUUACAGAUGGGCCCGCGGCGCAUUAGCUAGUUGGUGAGGUAACGGCUCACCAAGGCGACGAUGCGUAGCCGACCUGAGAGGGUGAUCGGCCACACUGGGACUGAGACACGGCCCAGACUCCUACGGGAGGCAGCAGUAGGGAAUCUUCCGCAAUGGACGAAAGUCUGACGGAGCAACGCCGCGUGAGCGAUGAAGGCCUUCGGGUCGUAAAGCUCUGUUGUUAGGGAAGAACAAGUACCGGAGUAACUGCCGGUACCUUGACGGUACCUAACCAGAAAAGCACGGCUAACUACGUGCCAGCAGCCGCGGUAAUACGUAGGUGGCAGCGUUGUCCGGAUUAUUGGGGCGUAAGCGCGCGCAGCGGUCCUUUAAGUCUGAUGGGAAGCCCACGGCUCACCGUGAAGGUCAUUGGAACUGGGGG
rnacentral:rRNA from 1 species